UACAGAGACUGCAAGCGUUAUUCGGAUUCACUGGGCGUAAAGGGUGCGCAGGCGGUCGGGUGUGUCAGAUGUGAAAUCCCGAGGCUCAACCUCGGAACUGCGUCUGAAACUACUCGACUAGAGUACUGGAGAGGGUAACGGAAUUCACGGUGUAGCAGUGAAAUGCGUAGAUAUCGUGAGGAACACCAGUGGCGAAGGCGAGUCUCUGGACAUUUCCUGACGCUGAGGCACGAAAGCCAGGGGAGCAAACGGG
rnacentral:rRNA from 1 species